UACGGAUUCGACAGGGAUGGAUCGAGCUUGAGCUGCGAGCCGAGAGGCGAUCUCGUAAACACGCACUUAAAUAUAACUGGCAAAACUAACAGUUUUAACCAAAACGUAGCAUUAGCUGCCUAAUAAGCGCAGCGAGCUCUUCCUGACAUUGCCUAUGUGUCUGUGAAGAGCACAUCCAAGUAGGCUACGCUUGCGUUCCCGUCUGAGAACGUAAGAAGAGAUGAACAGACUAGCUC
rnacentral:tmRNA from 1 species